rnacentral:lncRNA from 1 species
GUAAAGAGUCUAUGACUGUAACAUGGGAGGGGAAAACAGCAUGCCUGAUUGCAGCACCUGCUUGCACAGGUAAACUUAAUCAGAGCGCCAGGUAUCAGCUGAGCUCUGUUCAUCCAGCAGCAAUUAGCCCACCUCAGCUGUGAAGAAUUUAGCUAAACUCAUCAACAGUAUUCUGAGAAGAGGGAUGAUAGGAAAAGCUGUGUUUAGACUUCAUGCCUUACCAGCUGGAGUGGGGGCUGCUGGUGUUGCCUUCUGUCAACAGGGUCUGUGGGGUGACAGUCUGCUUGGAAAGCUCUGCCUCGCUCACAAGCUGAUAAGGAGAAUAUGCCAAGUCAACCAGAUGAGUCAGCACAGGCAACAUAAAAAGAAAGUGACUUUGAUAGAGGCCAUUAUGGGCACAGCUGUAGGACUGGCAGUCUCUCAAAUGAGAUGACACCAAAAGCUCCAGCAUCUGCAGAGAAAAAGUGAAGUGAGUAAAUAUUCAUAUAUUUAUAUAUAUUUGUGUGUAUUUUAUAUAUUUGUAUAUACAUACACUCUAAAAUCACAGAAUCACAGAAUGGCCAGGAUUGGAAGGGACCUCAAGGAUCAUGAAUCUCCAACCCCCCUGCCACAUGCAGGACCACCAACCUCCCCAUUUAAUACCAGACCAGGCUGCCCAGGGCCCUAUCCAAUCUGGCCUUGAACACCUCCAUGGAUGGGACAUCCACAACCUCUCUGGGCAGCUACUUCCAGUACCUCAC